rnacentral:rRNA from 1 species
UACGGAGGGGGCUAGCGUUGUUCGGAAUUACUGGGCGUAAAGCGCGCGUAGGCGGCUUUGUAAGUUAGAGGUGAAAGCCCGGAGCUCAACUCCGGAACUGCCUUUAAGACUGCAUCGCUAGAACGUUGGAGAGGUAAGUGGAAUUCCGAGUGUAGAGGUGAAAUUCGUAGAUAUUCGGAAGAACACCAGUGGCGAAGGCGACUUACUGGACGACUGUUGACGCUGAGGUGCGAAAGCGUGGGGAGCAAACAGG